GACGAACGCUGGCGGCGUGCUUAACACAUGCAAGUCGAACGGAAAGGCCCUGCUUUUGUGGGGUGCUCGAGUGGCGAACGGGUGAGUAACACGUGAGUAACCUGCCCUUGACUUUGGGAUAACUUCAGGAAACUGGGGCUAAUACCGGAUAGGAGCUCCUGCUGCAUGGUGGGGGUUGGAAAGUUUCGGCGGUUGGGGAUGGACUCGCGGCUUAUCAGCUUGUUGGUGGGGUAGUGGCUUACCAAGGCUUUGACGGGUAGCCGGCCUGAGAGGGUGACCGGCCACAUUGGGACUGAGAUACGGCCCCGACUCCUACGGGAGGCAGCAGUGGGGAAUAUUGCACAAUGGGCGGAAGCCUGAUGCAGCAAAGCCGCGUGCGGGAUGAAGGCCUUCGGGUUGUAAACCGCUUUCGCCUGUGACGAAGCGUGAGUGACGGUAAUGGGUAAAGAAGCACCGGCUAACUACGUG
rnacentral:rRNA from 1 species